rnacentral:rRNA from 1 species
AAACGACUGCUAAUACCGCAUAAUGUCUACGGACCAAACGGGGCUUAGGCUCCGGCGCAAAGAGAGGCCCAAGUGAGAUUAGCUAGAUGGUGAGGUAAAGGCUCACCAUGGCGACGAUCUCUAGCUGUUCUGAGAGGAAGAUCAGCCACACUGGGACUGAGACACGGCCCAGACUCCUACGGGAGGCAGCAGUGGGGAAUAUUGCACAAUGGGGGAAACCCUGAUGCAGCCAUGCCGCGUGUGUGAAGAAGGCCUUCGGGUUGUAAAGCACUUUCAGUUGUGAGGAAAAGUUGGUAGUUAAUACCUGCCAGCCGUGACGUUAACAACAGAAGAGGCACCGGCUAACUCCGUGCCAGCAGCCGCGGUAAUACGGAGGGUGCGAGCGUUAAUCGGAAUUACUGGGCGUAAAGCGCACGCAGGCGGUUUGUUAAGCUAGAUGUGAAAGCCCCGGGCUCAACCUGGGAUGGUCAUUUAGAACUGGCAGACUAGAGUCUUGGAGAGGGGAGUGGAAUUCCAGGUGUAGC